rnacentral:rRNA from 1 species
AGAGUUCGAUUAUGGCUCAGGAUGAACGCUGGCGGCGUGCUUAACACAUGCAAGUCGAACGGGAUCUGACCAGCUUGCUGGUUGGUGAGAGUGGCGAACGGGUGAGUAAUGCGUGACCAACCUGCCCCAUGCUCCAGAAUAGCUCUUGGAAACGGGUGGUAACGCUGGAUGCUCCAACUUGACGCAUGUCUUGUUGGGAAAGUGUUUAGUGGCAUGGGAUGGGGUCGCGUCCUAUCAGCUUGUAGGCGGGGUAAUGGCCCACCUAGGCUUCGACGGGUAGCCGGCCUGAGAGGGCGGACGGCCACAUUGGGACUGAGAUACGGCCCAG